CCUAACUGCGUUCCCACUGGUCCAACAUCAGAUGCUCCUAAUGUUGGAGGUACUAAUGAACGACAAUAAGCGUCUCCUACAGACAACGUAUGAUACUAGGCAUAGAAUUAGGCAGCUUGUGUACUUUUGCAUGAUACACGAGUCUGAUCUUGUGUGUCGACAAAGCACACGCAUGGACAAGGGAAAAUUGUCACUAAUGUACUCGGCGUCUACGACAUGAAAGGGGAUUUCAUAUACGUCACGGUUGGGAAGGUUCUGCAAAAGACUCAUGGAUUCUCCAGGAUGCUAAAGGGAUAUUACUAUUUGUGCGAUGUGGGUUAUCCAAACGCUAAGAGAUUUCUCACCCCAUACAGAGGCCAAAGGUACCACUUGCAAGAGUGGUGUGGUGCUGGAAAUUCUCCAACAACCACUGUAAAGGAAUACGUCAACAUGAAGCACUCUUCGACAAGGAAUAUGAUUUAGUGCGCAUUCAAUAUUUUGAAGGGUCGUUGGGGAAUUCUUCGUGGGAAGUCGUACUAUUCCCUCCAAGUGCAGUGUCACGCCAUCCUAGCAUGUUACAUGCUGCACAAUUUGAUAAACAAAUAAAUGACCAAUUGCGAAGUCAUUGACAAGGGGGACUCUACGUACACGACGACCACUGUUGUAGAAGACAUUCAGUACAUUAAGACCACAAACGAGUGGUCUCAGUGGCGCGACAAAUUAGCUGAAGCAAUAUUCACCGAAUGGCAUAUGGAAACCUCAUCCCGUGCCCCCAAACAUGUAUAAACAAAGGAGGAGGAGGACACUCUUGUCGAGUGUUUAGAGUUGGUGUCCACUAGGGGAUGGAAGUCUGACAAUAGUACGUUCCCGCUAGACCACCUGGCCUAACUAGUAUGCAUGAUGGCCAAAAAAUUACCUGGAUGUCAUGUCCGCGUAACCACUGUACUAGACUAUAGAAUCAAGACACUUAAGCGGACCUUCCAAGCCAUCGUAGAUAUAAAGGGGCCAGCGUGCAGUGGGUUUGGCUAGAACGAUGACGCAAAAUGCAUAAUUGCGGAGAUGGAAGUCUUUGAUAAUUGGGUUAGGCGAAGGGACUCCUUAACAAACUCUUUCUCUAUUACGACGAACUUGCAUAUGUUUUCGGGUGUGCUAGGGCGAUGGGUCGCUUUGCUAAGACAUUCACCGACGUCGGGUCGAACGAGCCUACCGGGUAUGAGGGAGUUGACAUGUCGGAUGGGAACAAGGAGUUUCCAUCCAUGUACAGCUAGGGGAUUGACAUGUCCAAGGAGGAUGUACGAGCAUCACGACCUGCUUGCGCGUCAGACGAUAGGGCCGGAUCGAAGAGAAAGAGGGGAAGCCAGUGGAAGGGUGAGCUUGACGUCAUACAUAUGGUUUCAUAGAGAUGAUUGACGAUGAGAGGAAGAACUUUGCAGAGCCCUCUUACGAGACAUCUUCAGAUAGUUUAUGUCCUUUCUUGACUGGCUUGCUUGUUGUUUUCUUACUUCACUUGAAUUAUGUUUUUUACUGUUAUUUGUAUUCCUAUUUUAGCAAACUUUUUUUUCAUAUGCACAAUACUUCGAUCCC